CAAAUUCAAGACUUAGAAAAAAAAGGAAUUCCUCCUAAUUAUUUCGGUCUAAAAUUUUUGUGCCUAAAUUAUAGCCUUCUUCAUCUAUUAGAUUGAACAGUAAGAUUAGAAAAUCAGAAACCCUACAAGCCUAAAGCUUUCAAAAUCAAUCAUUUAUAGAGAAGGAAAAUUUCUCAUUAAUUACUCAUGUGAAUCAACCUAAUAUCCCCAGAAGAAAGAUUAUCAAACGGAAUUGGGUUACUCCAACAUCUGAUGUUUUCUCUAUUUGUCUUCUUACAGAUUCGAGGCUUUAUAGCGGAUUCAUAUAGCUCAACGACUAAAUUACUCUUACUAUGCUUUUGGACUGCACAGGUUCUUAAGGAGGGAGGAAUUGAAGACUAAGAGGAAAAAGAUUUUACCUGUGAGUUUUACU